AGUGAACGCUGGCGGUAGGCCUAACACAUGCAAGUCGAACGGCAGCACAGUAAGAGCUUGCUCUUACGUGUGUCGAGUGGCGGACGGGUGAGGAAUACACCGGAAUCUACUUUUUCGUGGGGGAUAACGUAGGGAAACUUACGCUAAUACCGCAUACGACCUACGUGUGAAAGCACGGGAUCUUCUGACCUUGCGCGAUUGAAUGAGCCGAUGUCGGAUUAGCUAGUUGGCGGGGUAAAGGCCCACCAAGGCGACGAUCCGUAGCUGGUCUGAGAGGAUGAUCAGCCACACUGGAACUGAGACACGGUCCAGACUCCUACGGGAGGCAGCAGUGGGGAAUAUUGGACAAUGGGCGCAAGCCUGAUCCAGCCAUACCGCGUGGGUGAAGAAGGCCUUCGGGUUGUAAAGCCCUUUUGUUGGGAAAGAAAAGCAGCAGGUUAAUACCCCGCUGUUCUGACGGUACCCAAAGAAUAAGCACCGGCUAACUUCGUG
rnacentral:rRNA from 1 species